rnacentral:rRNA from 1 species
CAGUCGCCGCGGUAAUACGGAGGGUGCAAGCGUUAAUCGGAAUUACUGGGCGUAAAGCGCACGCAGGCGGUCUGUCAAGUCAGAUGUGAAAUCCCCGGGCUUAACCUGGGAACUGCAUUUGAAACUGGCAGGCUAGAGUCUUGUAGAGGGGGGUAGAAUUCCAGGUGUAGCGGUGAAAUGCGUAGAGAUCUGGAGGAAUACCGAUGGCGAAGGCAGCCAUCUGGCCUAAUACUGACGCUGAGGUACGAAAGCAUGGGGAGCAAACAGGAUUAGAUACCCGUGUAGUCCCUGUCUCUUAUAC